UCUACAGGUAAGCCACGUCCGUAUUUGA
rnacentral:sRNA from 1 species